AGGUGCCCUUCGGGGAAAGUUGAGACAGGUGGUGCAUGGUUGUCGUCAGCUCGUGUCGUGAGAUGUUGGGUUAAGUCCCGCAACGAGCGCAACCCUUGUGAUUAGUUGCUACGCAAGAGCACUCUAAUCAGACUGCCGUUGACAAAACGGAGGAAGGUGGGGACGACGUCAAAUCAUCAUGCCCCUUAUGACCUGGGCCACACACGUACUACAAUGGCCGUCAACAGAGAGAAGCAAGACCGCGAGGUGGAGCAAAACUCUAAAAACGGUCCCAGUUCGGAUUGCAGGCUGCAACCCGCCUGCAUGAAGUUGGAAUUGCUAGUAAUCGCGGAUCAGCAUGCCGCGGUGAAUACGUUCCCGGGCCUUGUACACACCGCCCGUCACACCAUGGGAGCCGGUAAUACCCGAAGUCAGUAGCCUAACCGCAAGGGGGGCGCUGCCGAAGGUAGGAUUGGCGACUGGGGUGAAGUCGUAACAAGGUAGCCGUAUCGGAAGGUGCGGCUGGAUCACCUCCUUUCUAUGGAGA
rnacentral:rRNA from 1 species